UACGUAGGGGGCAAGCGUUGUCCGGAUUUAUUGGGCGUAAAGAGCGUGUAGGCGGCCAAACAGGUCAGCUGUGAAAACUCGAGGCUCAACCUCGAGACGUCGGUUGAAACCGUUUGGCUAGAGUCCGGAAGAGGAGAGUGGAAUUCCCGGUGUAGUGGUGAAAUGCGCAGAUAUCGGGAAGAGCACCCGUGGCGAAGGCGGCUCUCUGGGACGGUACUGACGCUGAGACGCGAAAGCGUGGGGAGCGAACAGG
rnacentral:rRNA from 1 species